rnacentral:rRNA from 1 species
UACGUAGGGCGCAAGCGUUGUCCGGAAUUAUUGGGCGUAAAGAGCUCGUAGGCGGCUUGUCACGUCGGGUGUGAAAGCCCGGGGCUUAACCCCGGGUCUGCAUUCGAUACGGGCUGGCUAGAGUGUGGUAGGGGAGAUCGGAAUUCCUGGUGUAGCGGUGAAAUGCGCAGAUAUCAGGAAGAACACCCGUGGCGAAGGCGGCUCUCUGGGACGGUACUGACGCUGAGACGCGAAAGCGUGGGGAGCGAACAGG